AGGUUAACGAAAGCAAUGUUUUUUCACUUAUCACAUGAGAAACCCAGUUAGACGUUUCAAACACAACAAUGCUACAACAAAUCACUUCAAGAUUAAUCGCAACAUGAUGACCAAAAAGCUGUAACUAAAGAAACAUUACAGGCAAUUUAAUGCUCCUAUGCUUCUAUAAUGGAGGCAGCCAUUUUGAUGCGACGUCACGAUGUACGAGGCCUAUAUUUUUAGUUCACAAGGCUACCCCCAAUACUCCCAAAGCAAAGGGCACUGCCGUCCCCGCUACCCCUAAGCGUAAGAAAACAUCAUGUAGCCUACCCGAACCACAGAGAAUGGGAACGAAGGCAUGAGAGUGGGUUGUUUGGUUUCCUCGACAACGUCGUUAUAUUCAAAAUAAUCCACGACGGGGGGACCUGCUAUUGGAAAAUUAUGUACGACAUAUAGUUUACCAAAGGACGUCGAGGAAUGGUGAGAAUAGACGUGCUGGCCUUGUCUAGCAGAACAUAAGCGGGUGCGUUUGUUGGGGUGCGGUGCAGCCAUCUUCUCCAACUGAAUCAUAGCAAGUUAAUGUUGGUGACUUGUUUCUGCAGUAAUUAAAAUGUGGCAAAUAUAUAAACCAGACAACAACUUAAAAUAAAAGAUUAAGAAUCAGAC
ensembl:lncRNA